UGACAAAGUUCAACGGCCGCGUACCCUAACCGUGCGAAGGUAGCAUAAUCACUUGUUCUUUAAAUGAGGACUCGUAUCAACGGCAUCACGAGGGUUAAACUGUCUCCUCCCUCCAAUCAGUGAAACUGAUCUCUCCGUGAAGAAGCGGAGAUUAUCAUAUAAGACGAGAAGACCCCAUGGAGCUUUAAACCCAGCCACACCUCUUAUUUCCUCUACCUUUAAACAAUAAGAGCCCUGUAUAUCUGGUUUUAGGUUGGGGUGACCGCGGAGCACAAAAUACCCUCCACAAUGAAUGGGAUUACCCCCUUAUCUAAGAGCUACACCUCUAAGAAUUAGUACUCUAACAUAAAAUGAUCCGAUAUUCGAUCAACGAACCAAGUUACCCUGGGGAUAACAGCGCAAUCUACUUCAAGAGCCCCUAUCGACAAGUAGGUUUACGACCUCGAUGUUGGAUCAGGGUAUCCCAGUGGUGCAGCAGUUACUAAAGGUUCGUUUGUUCAACGAUUAAAACCCU
rnacentral:rRNA from 1 species